rnacentral:rRNA from 1 species
UGGGGAAUAUUGCGCAAUGGGCGAAAGCCUGACGCAGCGACGCCGCGUGGGGGAUGACGGCCUUCGGGUUGUAAACCUCUUUCGCCAUCGACGAAGCCUUCGGGUGACGGUAGGUGGAGAAGAAGCACCGGCCAACUACGUGCCAGCAGCCGCGGUAAUACGUAGGGUGCGAGCGUUGUCCGGAAUUAUUGGGCGUAAAGAGCUCGUAGGCGGUGUGUCACGUCGAUCGUGAAAACUUGGGGCUUAACUCUGAGCUUGCGGUCGAUACGGGCAUCACUGGAGUUCGGCAGGGGAGACUGGAAUUCCUGGUGUAGCGGUGAAAUGCGCAGAUAUCAGGAGGAACACCGGUGGCGAAGGCGGGUCUCUGGGCCGAUACUGACGCUGAGGAGCGAAAGCGUGGGGAGCGAACA